rnacentral:rRNA from 1 species
GUGCCAGCCGCCGCGGUAAUACGGAGGGUGCAAGCGUUGUCCGGAAUCACUGGGCGUAAAGGGUGCGUAGGCGGCGUGCUAAGUCAGAUGUGAAAUUUCGGGGCUCAACCUCGAACCUGCAUUUGAUACUGGCAUGCUAGAGGACUGGAGAGGAGAUUGGAAUUCACGGUGUAGUAGUGAAAUGCGUAGAUAUCGUGAGGAAGACCAGUGGCGAAGGCGAAUCUCUGGACAGUAUCUGACGCUGAGGCACGAAGGCCAGGGGAGCGAACGGGAUUAGAAACCCGAGUAGUCC